CCGGCGAUGUCCGAAUGGGGAAACCCAGUGCAAUUCGUUGCACUAUCGUUAACUGAAUACAUAGGUUAACGAGGCGAACCGGGGGAACUGAAACAUCUAAGUACCCCGAGGAAAAGAAAUCAACCGAGAUUCCCCCAGUAGCGGCGAGCGAACGGGGAGCAGCCCAGAGUCUGAAUCAGCUUGUGUGUUAGUGGAACGGUCUGGAAAGUCCGACGGUACAGGGUGAUAGUCCCGUACACCAAAAUGCACAGGUUGUGAACUCGAAGAGUAGGGCGGGACACGUGGUAUCCUGUCUGAAUAUGGGGGGACCAUCCUCCAAGGCUAAAUACUCCUGACUGACCGAUAGUGAACCAGUACCGUGAGGGAAAGGCGAAAAGAACCCCGGCGAGGGGAGUGAAAAAGAACCUGAAACCGUGUACGUACAAGCAGUGGGAGCACCUUCGGGUGUGACUGCGUACCUUUUGUAUAAUGGGUCAGCGACUUAUAUUCUGUAGCAAGGUUAACCGUAUAGGGGAGCCGCAGGGAAACCGAGUCUUAACUGGGCGUUAAGUUGCAGGGUAUAGACCCGAAACCCGGUGAUCUAGCCAUGGGCAGGUUGAAGGUUGGGUAACACUAACUGGAGGACCGAACCGACUAAUGUUGAAAAAUUAGCGGAUGACUUGUGGCUGGGGGUGAAAGGCCAAUCAAACCGGGAGAUAGCUGGUUCUCCCCGAAAGCUAUUUAGGUAGCGCCUCGUGAAUUCAUCUUCGGGGGUAGAGCACUGUUUCGGCUAGGGGGUCAUCCCGACUUACCAACCCGAUGCAAACUACGAAUACCGAAGAAUGUUAUCACGGGAGACACACGGCGGGUGCUAACGUCCGUCGUGAAGAGGGAAACAACCCAGACCGCCAGCUAAGGUCCCAAAGUCAUGGUUAAGUGGGAAACGAUGUGGGAAGGCACAGACAGCCAGGAUGUUGGCUUAGAAGCAGCCAUCAUUUAAAGAAAGCGUAAUAGCUCACUGGUCGAGUCGGCCUGCGCGGAAGAUGUAACGGGGCUAAACCAUGCACCGAAGCUGCGGCAGCGACACUAUGUGUUGUUGGGUAGGGGAGCGUUCUGUAAGCCUGCGAAGGUGACCUGUGAGGGUUGCUGGAGGUAUCAGAAGUGCGAAUGCUGACAUAAGUAACGAUAAAGCGGGUGAAAAGCCCGCUCGCCGGAAGACCAAGGGUUCCUGUCCAACGUUAAUCGGGGCAGGGUGAGUCGACCCCUAAGGCGAGGCCGAAAGGCGUAGUCGAUGGGAAACAGGUUAAUAUUCCUGUACUUGGUGUUACUGCGAAGGGGGGACGGAGAAGGCUAUGUUAGCCGGGCGACGGUUGUCCCGGUUUAAGCAUGUAGGCUGGUUAUCCAGGCAAAUCCGGAUAAUCAAGGCUGAGGUGUGAUGACGAGGCACUACGGUGCUGAAGUAACAAAUGCCCUGCUUCCAGGAAAAGCCUCUAAGCAUCAGGUAACAUCAAAUCGUACCCCAAACCGACACAGGUGGUCAGGUAGAGAAUACCAAGGCGCUUGAGAGAACUCGGGUGAAGGAACUAGGCAAAAUGGUGCCGUAACUUCGGGAGAAGGCACGCUGGUGUGUAGGUGAAG
rnacentral:rRNA from 1 species